rnacentral:rRNA from 1 species
UACGAAGGGGGCUAGCGUUGUUCGGAAUUACUGGGCGUAAAGAGCUCGUAGGCGGUUUGUUGCGUCGGCUGUGAAAUCCCGAGGCUCAACCUCGGGUCUGCAGUCGAUACGAGCAAACUAGAGUGUUGCAGGGGAGACUGGAAUUCCUAGUGUAGCGGUGAAAUGCGCAGAUAUCAGGAGGAACACCGGUGGCGAAGGCGGGUCUCUGGGCAACAACUGACGCUGAGGAGCGAAAGCGUGGGGAGCGAACAGG